rnacentral:tRNA from 1 species
GGGAGUUUGGCGCAGCGGUAGCGCAUCUGCUUUACACGCAGCUGGUCACUGGUUCGAUCCCAGUAACUCCCA